rnacentral:rRNA from 1 species
AACUUUCAACAACGGAUCUCUUGGUUCUGGCAUCGAUGAAGAACGCAGCGAAAUGCGAUAAGUAAUGUGAAUUGCAGAAUUCAGUGAAUCAUCGAAUCUUUGAACGCACAUUGCGCCCCUUGGUAUUCCGGGGGGCAUGCCUGUUCGAG